UACGUAGGGGGCAAGCGUUGUCCGGAAUCAUUGGGCGUAAAGAGCGUGUAGGCGGCCAGAAAAGUCCGCUGUGAAAACUCGAGGCUCAACUUCGAGCUGUCGGUGGAAACUUUCUGGCUAGAGUCCGGAAGAGGAGAAUGGAAUUCCUGGUGUAGAGGUGAAAUUCGUAGAUAUUGGGAAGAACACCGGUGGCGAAGGCGGCGAGCUGGUCCGUACCUGACGCUGAGGCGCGACAGCGUGGGGAGCAAACAGG
rnacentral:rRNA from 1 species